ACGCACGUUGGCGGCAGGCAUAACACAUGCAAGUCGGACGAACCCUUCGGGGUUAGUGGCGGCCGGGUGAGUAACGCCUGGGAUUAUACCCUUUCGUACGGAAUAGCCUCGGGAAACUGAGAGUAAUUCCGUAUGUACCCUUCGGGGGUAAGAUUUAUCGCCAAAGGAUUAGCCCGCGUUGGAUUAGGUAGUUGGUGGGGUAAUGGCUUACCAAGCCGACGAUCCAUAGCUGGUUUGAGAGGAUGAUCAGCCACACUGGGACUGAGACACGGCCCAGACUCCUACGGGAGGCAGCAGUGGGGAAUCUUAGACAAUGGGGGAAACCCUGAUCUAGCCAUGCCGCGUGAGUGAUGAAGCCC
rnacentral:rRNA from 1 species